rnacentral:rRNA from 1 species
AACGAACGCUGCGGCAUGCCUAACACAUGCAAGUCGAACGAGAUCUUCGGGUCUAGUGGCGCACGGGUGCGUAACGCGUGGGAAUCUGCCCUUUGGUUCGGAAUAACAGUUGGAAACGACUGCUAAUACCGGAUGAUGACGAAAGUCCAAAGAUUUAUCGCCAGAGGAUGAGCCCGCGUAGGAUUAGCUAGUGGUGUGGUAAAGGCGCACCAAGGCGACGAUCCUUAGCUGGUCUGAGAGGACGAUCAGCCACACUGGGACUGAGACACGGCCCAGACUCCUACGGGAGGCAGCAGUGGGGAAUAUUGGACAAUGGGCGAAAGCCUGAUCCAGCAAUGCCGCGUGAGUGAUGAAGGCCUUAGGGUUGUAAAGCUCUUUUACCCGGGAUGAUAAUGACAGUACCGGGAGAAUAAGCUCCGGCUAACUCCGUGCCAGCAGCCGCCGUAA